CGAUGCUAACUCGUUUUUGGGGCUUUAAGCUUCAGAGACUAAGCGAAAGUGAUAAGUUAGCCACCUGGGGAGUACGGACGCAAGUCUGAAACUCAAAGGAAUUGACGGGGGCCCGCACAAGCGGUGGAUUAUGUGGUUUAAUUCGAUGAUACGCGAGGAACCUUACCAAGGCUUAAAUGGGAAAUGACAGGUUUAGAAAUAGACUUUUCUUCGGACAUUUUUCAAGGUGCUGCAUGGUUGUCGUCAGCUCGUGCCGUGAGGUGUUAGGUUAAGUCCUGCAACGAGCGCAACCCCUGUCACUAGUUGCCAUCAUUAAGUUGGGGACUCUAGUGAGACUGCCUACGCAAGUAGAGAGGAAGGUGGGGAUGACGUCAAAUCAUCACGGCCCUUACGCCUUGGGCCACACACGUAAUACAAUGGCCAGUACAGAGGGCAGCUACCAGGCGACUGGAUGCGAAUCUCGAAAGCUGGUCUCAGUUCGGAUUGGAGUCUGCAACUCGACUCUAUGAAGCUGGAAUCGCUAGUAAUCGCGCAUCAGCCAUGGCGCGGUGAAUACGUUCCCGGGCCUUGUACACACCGCCCGUCAAGCCAUGGAAGUCUGGGGUACCUGAAGUCGGUGACCGUAACAG
rnacentral:rRNA from 1 species